AUCCAUCUGACGAGUCCCAAAUAGAACGGAAUGCACAUCUUGGAU
rfam:Schistosoma mansoni strain Puerto Rico chromosome W, complete genome